rnacentral:tRNA from 1 species
AUUAGUAAUACUGUACAAGUGCUUUUGAUUUGAAAUCAGAAUGGUUGUUUUAGGUGGCAAUACUAAUU